CUUCCGUUUUAUCAGCCCAUAUUACUAAAUGCCUGACUUCAGAAAAAAAACGUAAACAAAAGACAGAGAUUGGAAGCAUCAGAAUUUUAUUCCAGUGACUCAAUCCCCAUUGUGUGAAGUAGACCAGAAUGAAUAAAUUGAACUUACUCAGCACCUCAAUUAUUAAAUGUAUCCACAGAAAUUCAUUCUGUCAAGUUAACUGUGGAGGUUGUUGUUGCUAUUGCAGACUAAAUGGUUUUCCUGGGAACUCUGACUCUGGCCACAAGAUCAAGACUGACAAAUUUCCUUUCUCUGUUUAUGGAGGGAGACUUCACAACAUUCACUGAAAGAGGAGCAAAGGACCUGGUUUUUGCCAUGACUGGCUUUGGCCCCGUGAAUGAAUGUUUUUCUGGCAUUGGAAAGCGGAUAGCAAAGAGAGCAGAACCACAAAUGGGCUAUGAGGAAAUGUGUUCAAUGAAGAAAACAAAAUCUCUGACAAGAUCCAACAUAGGACAACAUCUCAGCAUCUUCUGUGAUUUGUGAACCCAAGUAAAGCACUUCUUAGAGUUAUCUGGCACAUUCGCAACUAAUAGCUUUCUG
rnacentral:lncRNA from 1 species